rnacentral:lncRNA from 1 species
UUUAUAUUAUUUAUAAUUUCCAUAAGAGCCUGCAUCUCAUGCAUCUUUUAACAUGGGCAUUUUAAUAUCUCUUUCUAUUAGGUUGUCAGUAUCAUAAGAUCAGGACAUGGUUUUCCUAAACAGACACAGUGCCUUAUUUUAUGAUGUCAAGAUGCAUAGAUGCUCAGAGAGAGAAUCCAAAUGGACAGAAAGCAAGUUCAAAGACAAGACUUGUGGAAACAGACAAUACAUUGUCAGCAUAUUUCUUGACAUGGAGAGCCACUGCCUGGGAGCCAGUUGGGAUUCUUACAAAAGCCUGCUGUGUUGCUGAGUGUCCUGGAAGAAUACAGUGUUGCAGUGGUUCAGAGGAAC